rnacentral:lncRNA from 1 species
GAGCACUUCCGGGGCAGCGCGGCAUGGCGGCGGGAGGGCGGUGAGCGGGGCCGGGCGGAGCGGGUUCUGUCCCGGGAACGGGGUCGGGCUUCAGUCCGGGGGCAUCGAGGGGCUCUCGGGAGAGGAGCUCGCGGUGCUGCCGGUCACCGAGAGGCAGGUCCCGGCUCGCAGGCGGGCUGCGUGGCCUCGCGAGAGCUGUGGGUGCCGGAGCGCAGGCCGGGGCGAGCGGGGCGGCUCCCAGGCGGCGCCGCUGCUGCCUUGGGCAGGGCGGUGGCAGCCCCGUGCUCCGUCGUGCGGCGGGAGCUCUCGUGUUUUGUCGCUCUUCGUUGGUGUCUGAAAGAGGACUCCCCGUUGGAAUUUGUACCGAGAAAACCCCAGAAUAUCGAGGAACAGAGCCUGAGUGGCCGAGAAAUUGAGUUGGGACUCAGGAGAACAAUUUGUGACUGUCACAAACUUCCUGUGUGGCCAUUGCAGGUUGGUGUUGUACAGCACAGAAGCAGCACGGUUGUGAAUACAUACACGAGAAGCCGCUCUCCUUGAGAACAGUAGAGCAGCAGGCUGUCUGCACUAUGGCUGCUGAACGGCAUUACUCCCACCUGAGAUCCCUGAGCCCACGCUGAUGGAGACUGUGCUGCACCACGGACUCUUCUUUGGAGCCAUUUUCCAGCUUCUCUGUGUGUUAGCCAUUAUCCUGCCAGUUUCCCAGUCCCGUAAGACAGUAAGUUGUGCUCUCUGAUCUUGAUACACAUGCACAGAAAAUAG